rnacentral:misc_RNA from 1 species
UGAACUUGAGGUUUUAUUUUCGCCUUGCGGGGAAAUAGAAUCUGUUCAAUUUGAAAGCUAUGAUCAGUGGCGUAAAUUUGCAUAUGUUACCUUCACUAAUUCAGAAGGAGCAAAGCUAGCCCCUAUUAUUUUGAGGAAGAACGGCCAUUGUCUCUACAUCGCACCAGAGCUUGAGCCCCCUGAUUGUCGGUUACCUACGAGGGCUGAGGUCUUCACUGCACAAAAGAAAUAUCGAAAAAUUAGGAACGUAUAUGAAAUCAGGCGUAUUAGAAUGGAGCCAACAAUUCAAAAAUUUGAGACAUCGGGAGCCUGCCCGGGCAUCUUGUGCCCCAUACUCCGAUAAGUUUGUGAGAGCCCGAGGCGGUCAGUUUGGGUUUGUGAAUGUAUUUUAUUUUUGCUGCCGACGACAUUUGAUCUGAUAUAACUGGAUUUGUGGAUGUUAUUUGGUUAGACAUGUUUGACCGGGUUUGUGGAUGCUAUUUGGUAAUACAUGUUUGGGAUUG